AAAAUAAGUCAGCUCCCAAGGAGACUUAUUUUUGACACAUCAAGAAUUAUUCGCUCGUUCACGAAUUGUAGGAUCUUAGUAGUCCAUGAUGUAUGUAACUUGACAAGGGACUUUAAUAAAUGACCAUUAAUAAUUAUACAACCAAGCAAUCAAGUCUGGUCACUACAAAAUGGCGACGAGGAAUAAAAUUUUUAACCAAAGUAAUUGCGCCACGGACUUUAUCAAAAACAAAAUCAAGAAAGGGAUAUUACGGAGUACUAAUUAUUUAUACCUCACCCAAACCGCUACAAUGUUAGAGGUCUGUAAAGGACGCCGUUUCAAGUUUCCAAAAAGCUUGAAGAGAACAGUGGAGCAAUAAUAGUUCGUAAUCAGCAAGUUCGGAUCACUUUUCUAAGAUAUACAACUAGAAGGAAAACAUUGGAAGUAGACGGAUGUUGAUGUUGAUUGCCUUAAAACGGUGAUAACUAAAGGUAGUAUACUGCAUUGGUAUGUGUUGUGUACAUUUAUUUUCCCACAUCGAUCAUUAUGAGAUUACGAUAUGGCCACAGAGGGCUGAGCUUCCAGCGGCCUUCUUCAAGAUGUGAUCGGAAUUUGGGUCGGAACCAAGAUUCAAAGCCAAGACAAUACCGGCACAACAAGUCGGGUGAUAUAUUGCGCCUCGGUCGAAACGGAACCACUUUUUCAACAUCGGACUGCGUUAGUUUUUCUUCUUCCCAUGGACUGGCUUAACUGUGUAUACUUACCAGCAGAAUACAGUAGAUAGGAUGUUCAUUUCGGAUACGGUCACACAGAAAUUGUUACCCAAAACGAACAGUUGGUCACCGGAUGAACUAGACUUUAACGUUACCAUCGCAGAGAAUAAUCACGAUGGAGAUGCUAAGCACAAGGAUAGCAUUAUCAUUGAAUCUGCAAGAUAGUAUCAUAACUGGGCUGCCGCUGACGUUACUCAAGUGUGAAAGCGUGGAUGUGGACAAAAGUCGGGCUACCAAACUGAACAUCUGGGAAAGGUUUAGGCCGAGGGUGAACUCGCCAAAGACACUAAAAUAAAGAUUAACAAAUUAACUGUUUAAAUGCAUUCAAUUUUAGAUUGAAAGAUGUUUAUCAAAGUAAGAUCUUGUUAUAGAGGAGCGAAAGUUAAGUAUAUUUACAAUGUCUAUACAAAACAAAAAAGAUGCUUACGUAAUAAUUGACCGAACCCUAUACGUGCAUCUUAUUGCCGAGUUUAGACACAUUGACUAAAAAAGUACCCAUGCCCAAGUAAAUUAAGAAGGUCCCAAUUAGUUCUUCACCCCACCCUAUAGCUAGGCAUGCUGUUUCGCUCAAGAAAAGUAAAAAUUUCU